rnacentral:rRNA from 1 species
UACGUAGGGUGCGAGCGUUAAUCGGAUUUACUGGGCGUAAAGCGUGCGCAGGCGGCCCGUUAAGACAGGUGUGAAAUCCCUGGGCUCAACCUAGGAAUUGCGCUUGUGACUGGCGGGCUCGAGUACGGUAGAGGGGGGUGGAAUUCCUGGUGUAGCAGUGAAAUGCGUAGAUAUCGGGAGGAAGGUCGGUGGCGAAGGCGGCCACCUGGUCAGAAACUGACGCUCAUGCACGAAAGCGUGGGGAGCAAACAGG